UACAGAGGUCUCAAGCGUUGUUCGGAUUCAUUGGGCGUAAAGGGUGUGUAGGUGGCGCGCUAAGUCGGGUGUGAAAUUUCGGAGCUUAACUCCGAAACUGCAUUCGAUACUGGCGUGCUUGAGGACUGGAGAGGAGACUGGAAUUCAUGGUGUAGCAGUGAAAUGCGUAGAGAUCAUGAGGAAGACCAGUGGCGAAGGCGGGUCUCUGGACAGUUCCUGACGCUGAAGCACGAAGGCCAGGGGAGCAAACGGG
rnacentral:rRNA from 1 species